rnacentral:rRNA from 1 species
AUUGAACGCUGGCGGCAUGCCUUACACAUGCAAGUCGAACGGUAACGGGCCUUCGGGUGCCGACGAGUGGCGAACGGGUGAGUAAUGUAUCGGAACGUACCUUUCAGUGGGGGAUAACGUAGCGAAAGUUACGCUAAUACCGCAUAUUCUGUGAGCAGGAAAGCAGGGGAUCGCAAGACCUUGCGCUGAUUGAGCGGCCGAUAUCAGAUUAGCUAGUUGGUGAGGUAAAGGCUCACCAAGGCGACGAUCUGUAGCGGGUCUGAGAGGAUGAUCCGCCACACUGGAACUGAGACACGGUCCAGACUCCUACGGGAGGCAGCAGUGGGGAAUUUUGGACAAUGGGGGCAACCCUGAUCCAGCCAUGCCGCGUGAGUGAAGAAGGCCUUCGGAUUGUAAAGCUCUUUCGGCCGGGAAGAAAUCGCACGGGCUAAUACCCUGUGUGGAUGACGGUACCGGAAUAAGAAGCACCGGCUAACUACGUGCCAGCAGCCGCAGUAACAC